rnacentral:rRNA from 1 species
GACGAACGCUGGCGGCGUGCCUAACACAUGCAAGUCGAGCGGAAAUAAUUAAAGUUUACUUUGAUUAUUUUAGCGGCGGACGGGUGAGUAACACGUGGGCAACCUGCCCUUGAGAGGGGGAUAACACAGAGAAAUUUGUGCUAAUACCGCAUAACAUUUAGACUUCGCCUGGAGUUUAAAUCAAAGGAGUAAUCCGCUCAAGGAUGGGCCCGCGGCGCAUUAGCUAGUUGGUGAGGUAAUGGCUCACCAAGGCGACGAUGCGUAGCCGACCUGAGAGGGUGAUCGGCCACAUUGGAACUGAGACACGGUCCAGACUCCUACGGGAGGCAACAGUGGGGAAUAUUGCGCAGUGGGGGAAACCCUGACGCAGCAACGCCGCGUGAGCGAUGAAGGCCUUCGGGUUGUAAAGCUCUGUCUUUGGGGACGAUAAUGACGGUACCCAAGGAGGAAGCCACGGCUAACUACGUGCCAGCAGCCGCAGUAACAC